GGCUCUGUAGCUCAGUCGGUAGAGCAGAGGACUGAAAAUCCUCGUGUCGGCGGUUCGAUUCCGUCCGGAGCCACCA
rnacentral:tRNA from 7 species